GUGCUUCAGCAGCACAUAUACUAAAAUUCGAACGAUACAGAGAAGAUUAGCAUGGCCCCUGCACAAGGAUGACACGCAAAUUUGUGAAGCACUCCAUAUUUUU
rnacentral:snRNA from 1 species